AAAUCCACAUACAAAGGCAGUUACCUGUUACAAAAGAGAAAUGUGACAGAAUUUUUCAGAAAAUGAAACACACAUGGCUGUUCACCAUUCUAUAAAAAAGACAUUUGAAAAGGGGAAAAACCAAAAGAAUAUAUAAUAAAAAGCAAAUAAAUCUGCAUAAAUAAACAUAUAGAAACACUUGUUUCCAAAAUUCAUUUAUACUAGUCAUAUUUGGAAAGAGGAGCACCCAAUGCAUCACAGUAUUCUUCUUUGUUACCAUUAUUCUUUGUAAAUGUGACCGUGUGUGUGUGAGCUUCUGCUAAUAAUAAGCACAUAAUGUAGAUACACAAAAAAUAUAUGCUAGGAAUAAG
rnacentral:misc_RNA from 1 species